AGUAAUAAAACUUUGGCUUUGGUAACACGAUAUCUAUAUCUAAGUAGUAUUAGAACCAAUAAACAAGGUAGAGAUGAACGUUGUGUUGGUUUUCUGUGGAGGCAAGUUCAUAUGAAGAGCCAAAACCUGGUGAAGUUGCACCAUUUUUAGCAAGCAUUCCCAUAUGCCCUCUGCUACGGUGAAGAAAAAGAAGGAUAGCUGUAUGAGUUUAAGGUAUUUGGUUUGAUUUCACCAAGGUUUAACCACCUUCAUAGUAAUUCUCUCCUUGUUGCAGCACCCUCAUUCCUAACUAUGACUACUAUUAGGCACUCAGCAUACCUGUAUUUCUUCCAGAACCUGCAUGCUCAUUACAUCAUUUAGCAGCAAACACCGUAGAACCUUGCAACGCCUUCUUUGGCCAUCAUAGAUUCUAUGUUACAACAAUUUUCGCUUCCAUUCAGCACGUCUCCCAAAACUCCUACCUAUGUCAACUAGUCACAAGACCUUACACAAACACAAGCAGUGAGACAGCUUACAGCAUGAAGAGAGAACUUUUCAU
rnacentral:lncRNA from 1 species